ensembl:lncRNA
GCCGAAACCCGCGGCGGCAGCCAAUCGGCACUCACUGCUGUGCAAUCGCAAGACCUAGCUGCAGUACGAUUGGCCUCCGGCCGCCGCCAGCGGUCCCAGGAGCCGGAGAAGCUGGACCCAGGUCGUGGCUGCCGACCUGCCGGGCUCGUCUGUGGCUGCUCCCUGCCAGCCAGUGCGGAAACCGCAGAUGGGGCGCGCGGGCCCUCUGCACAGCCGGUCCGAAACUGCUGCGGUCGGCGGGGCUGGGAGCGGGGCGCAGGAGCGAGCAGAGAGACUGAGGGCUCUCCCCACCCACUGGGGGUUCCCCGCGGGACGCGGCUCAUUCUGCAAGCCCGAGGCUUCCAGCCGCGCGGGAUCGUGCCUGCGGAGGGUCGGGCAACGACCUGCCCUAAAGAGCUGGAUGGACCCAGUAGCCGCCCAAACUGGGUACGAGCGCUCAGACGCAGAAAUGGGAACAAAGCUUCCAGAAGGGCAGAGCCCUAAGUGGCCGCGCCCCGCCCAGCCGCGGGGGCCACUGAUAGCGGUGGCCCCCUGCGCCUAUCCGCGGCCAGGCCCUGCCUUCUGGAAACGCCCCUGAGAGAUGAGCUCAUGCCAGAUGCGCGCGCUCCUUGGCGCCUCUGCCCAGGCUGAACGGGACCCAAAAGCAGGGUUCCAAGCCCAGCCUCUACCAUGAAGACUGAUAGGAUGUCUAUCUGGAAGUGACUUCAGGAUUCUUCUAGCUCAUUUCAAUUUCACAGGUGAACAAAUAGGCCCACAGUGGGAAAAUGACUUCUUCAAGGCAUGCUGUUGCAGAGUGAGUGAAGGAUGGACUUUGGAGUUAGGGUUGGGAUUGAAACAUGGAUCCGUGGUUAUCAAGAUGCUAGGCUGGACUCUAUACCCCCUGAGCCCAUUUCUUCAUUUGAAAAUGGAGAUAAUGACCACCAUACCUGCCUUAUAUAGUUACAGAGCUAUGAGAUGAGUAAAAUGUGAAAGGGCCUUGUCAGAGGCUGAAACAUGGUAAAAACUCAAGUGAGUUCCUUUCCUCCUUGCACAGGAAAAAAG